rnacentral:lncRNA from 1 species
UGCUGUCUCACAGGCUGGACUUGAACCCCAGUUGUUUUAAUGGUUAGUUGCAUCAAUAUAGGAAAAUUAAUUACAUUUUGUGAGCGACACUUUCCUUGUCUGCCAACCAGAAUUAAUUACAACUGGCUUAGUUAUUGAACAGAUAAGUUCACCUAUGUGGAAGAUCUAGGAUUGGGUUUCUCAUUUAGCCAGCACAGUCCUUAUUUUUGGCCCUUUCUCCUUAUAUGUGUACAAAGAAAGUGACUAGAAUCACCAGUCACUGGUGCUCUAGCCCUGCUGAUCUUCCCUCCAUUUCCAAUAUCAAGGGGACUCUGGACCUCAGCUAACACCUUCCCUGACUAAGGGCAAGGAGUUAUGAGCACAUCUCCUCUGAGAUCCCUUUUCACAACAAGUGCUAAUGAUUCUGGAGUUCUGAUUCUUGAAGAUAAAACAUGUGAAAGGGGAAUUUCCACAGGAAGAGAUUCGGCCUUGUUCAUUGAAUAGUCAGUCUGACUCACCACCAUUGUCAUUACUUACUUCUUGACGUCAUAUAUUUCUUGCCAAACUUCGAAGGAUAUUAAGUGCAAUUAUCCUAUACCACAAUGAGAGACAUUUAGGAAGGACAGACCCCCUGCAGCUCACCAGCACCUUGGCCUAUUACAGCUACCUCCUGCUCCUCCUCGUGAGCGCGGUCUACUUUGCCAUCAUCACCAUCUGUCUGUGUAGGAGAACAGCCGUCUCUGGCAAUGGAAAGAAUUCAUAACAGAUGGGGGGACAAAGAAGUCAACUUUAGUUCAUCAUUUAUUGUCCCUAGAAGUGUCUACUGCGAAUCUACCUUGGCUUUCUCUCUGGGUUUGGGUUAUUCCAGUUCAAAAGUGUGCUUUGCUGUUAUGCCAUUAUUGUGUAAUGGUUUUUCAAAACACUGGGCAAAUAGAAAUUUUUUCUCUAUGACAGCAAUGAACUCUGCCAUUACUCAGGGGCAGGGCCGUGGGGUCGUCCUUUAGCACCACUCUCUCCAUGAUCUCCAUCAGCUCCUCCAGCAAACUGAAUGACCAUGCCUUCUGAGUACAGACAACAUGCAACUCUACUCACGUCCCUUAGGGCCAUUUAACCAGAUGACCACCUUGGAGCCUUCCAUUUUACACACGCAGAAGUCACCAUCAUUGUCACUUAAAUUCUAUACUUCGUUUUUCAUAAUGGGCACAAUAAAAAAAAU